rnacentral:lncRNA from 1 species
CGACGACGAUUGGAUCAUCGAUGACAACGACGAAGAAGAAGAAGAAGAAGGAGGAGGAGAAAAGGAGUAGGAAAAGGAGGGUAUGGAGAAGAAAAGGAAGAAGAAGAAGCAGGAGAGGAAGAGGAAGAGGAAGAUGAAGAAGAAAAAGUGAAAAAGAAAGAGGAAGAAGAAGAAGGGCAAAAUUGUCAAUUCACAUUAUUAAUUAACCAUGGUUAAAUAUUUUAACUGUGGUUAACGAAAUUUCUCUUAUGGAUCCUAACGGCAAGGACAUAUCUGAAUACAUUAGGACUUUUGCAGGAAUAACUUAUAAAAGUUGAGCUUUGUAGGGAUAUAUCUGCAAUUCACCAUGUUUGCAGGGACGUGUAUGCAAUUAAUCCUUAAAUUUAAUUUAAAAUAUAAAGUUUUAUUCAAAGUUUAUUUAAAAUUUAAAUUAAAUUUAUGGAUUCAAAUUUAAAUUAAAUUUAUGGAUUCAAAUUUAAAUUUAAAUUAUAAUUUUAAGUUUGAAUUUGAAUAAAUUAAAUUUUUGUUUUAUAUUUUGAAUUAUCCUUUCGAUUUCAAAUUUUUAUUUUUUAAAAAAUAUAUUUAAAAUUUUGACAUUAUUUUAAAAUUUUAACGUAAAUUUUUAAUAUUUAUUUUUCAGUUUCAAUUUAGACUAGAAUAUUAUAGAGAUAAAAUUGGUAUAUUUAUUUGAUUAUGUUUAUAAUAUCUAUCUGAACUAAACACUGACGAUUAGGAAUGUCAACGGGUCGGGUUUUCAAAAGCCCGAACCCGAUCUCGAAACCAAAUUGAAACCCGAAGCCGGACCCGAACGCGGUAGGUUUUAAAAAUUCAUACCCAUAUUCGACCCUGACCAAAAAUCUGAAACCCGAAACCAAACCCGAAAAUCCGAACCCGAAAUAAUAAAUUCUCUUUAAUAUAUUUCAAAAUAUAAUAUAGUAAAAUCAAAAUUUUCAAAACACAAUCAAAUGCAACAUUAAACAUUCGAUGGAUAAAAAUUAUUAGACAUUAUAUAUAUAUAUAUAUAUAUAUAUAUAUAUAUAUUCGGGUUCGGAUUCAAGGUUCGCAUAAAUACAAAAUCCAUACCUGUAUCCAUAUUUGUCGGGUUUUUAUUUUCUAUACCCAUAGCCAAAUCCAUAUCUGUUUAACUCGGAUAAACCCUUUCCAUUCGGGUUCGGAUUCGGAUAAUAUUUCGGGUAUCCAUAUCUAUUGACAUCCCUACUGAUGAUGGAAAUGGUUUAUUUCGAUUUUGAUUCCGGUGGCGAACCAAACAGAAUGAGAUAAUGAAUCAUUCCAAUUUUGUUUCCAACUUAUUCUCAUUCCGAUUCCAAUAUUGAUUCCGACUUCAAACCAAACACACCCUUAAUUCUAAAAGCUCGCACUAUUAGAAAGAUACAACCAAUUUACUUAA